rnacentral:lncRNA from 1 species
CACGCCAUUUCAUACUUGAGCACCAAGCAAUUAUCUCUAUACAUAUUUCUUUUGAUUUUCUUCAACAUUUCAUUUUAUCCGAAAUUUUGUCAAACCAGCAGAAAAACUUUACCCAGCUUCAUUCAUCUACAGAACUUCAUUAGACUUCAUUAGGUAAUUUCAUUAUUUCUGCAAAUUUUCAUUCUCCUGCAGUUCACUUCUACAUCCCAUAUUUUGUGCAGAGACAAUUUUUAAUAAUCUUUAAACUCUCACAAACUCAUUUUACUCUCAAAUUCCAAAAUCCCCAACAUCUUCAAUUCAAGAGCAAACAUCUAGAGCAUGAGAUAAUUUAUGUUUAUUUUUCAGUAACAAUUCAUCUUUUUGCAUUAAUAUUCAAAAGAAAAAGAUAGAAUAAAAUGAAAUUAGAAACAUAGAAAUAGAGUGGAGAUGGGGAGUUGUUGGUGCACGGAUGCUGGACAGCCGGUGAAGCGAGAGAGCUGGCUAGUAGGCGUCGCCAGGCGCUGCCGCGCCACGGCGGCCGGCGAAGAUGGGCAGUGGUGGCGCCGGAUCUGGAAAGGGAGGUGGCGGGCCGAUCAGCUGCUGCUUUUUUCGUGGCUGUUGUCGGCGAGAAGGAUAUGAGGGGUGGGAGGCAUGGUCUGGAUGGUGGCGCUGGCAGGCGGCGAAGGUCGCCGCCGGAGAAAGGAGCGGCCGCAGCUGCCGCGGCGAGGACGGUGGCAGGGGAGAGAGGUCGAAGGGAAGGGAGAGAUCAGGGAAGACAGAGAGAGGUGGAAGGGAAGAAGAGAGGAGGCGGCGCCGUCGGCCUCCGGGGACGGCGCUGCCGUCCGGUGGCGGCGGCAGGAGGGCAGAGAGGGUGGGGAGUGAGCGGCUGAGAGAGAAGGAGUGAAGAGAGGUGAGCUGCGUGAGAUGUGUUGGAGUGUGAUUAAAUUAGGGUAAGAGAGAAGAGUGGGCUUGGGCCAAGGGAGUUUUAAUUUAAUGGGCUCAGAUUAAUUAAGUAAUUGGGCUUCAUUUUUAAUUUGCUUUGAGCUGCAUUUUUCUUUUAAUUAAAUUGGACUUGGUAUUUUUGAACACUAACCCAAAUUUUUAAAGAAGCAUGCAUUUUAUUAUUUGAUUCAUUAGAUCAAUUAUUUUUCAAAUGAUUUUGAAGGUUUUAUAAAAUUUUCUUAAUUUUAAAUAUUUUUCAAAUAUAUUUAGGCCCUUAUAUGUUAUUAUUUGAAUUUAUUUAACUAGGUGCGGCGCGACUAGGAUAUGGAUUUUACUUUGAAUUAUCAAAAUUAGCUUUCAAGUUGAAGUUCAAGUUCAAGUUUCAGGUGUGGGAUUUAUUUCAGUACAUGCCGUGGUUAAUUGUUGUCCAUUUUAAUAUUAUGUGUUUGCCAUAUGUGUUGUAAAUUCAGUUAUAUCGCUAGGGGCCCGCUCAAUGGGUCCAGGACUUCACCGUCCUUGGUAUGCCACAAUGCGAUUUCAUGUUACAGUUAGGGUUGCAACCUAUUCGCCAGGGGCCUGCUCAAUGGGUCCAGGACUUUAAAGUCCUUGGUAUGCCACCGUGCGAAUUUCAGUUAUCAGUACAGUGCAGUGCGUAUGUGUUGACCAUUUUAUUAACGUGGACAAUUAUUGCAUGUUUCCCAC